AGAGGUGGCACAGCGGGUGUGGGAGCAGCCGGGCACAGAGCUGGGUGUGGGCACAGAGCUGAGCUGGCGCAGGGAGCGGAUCCCAGGGCAUGUGGAUGGGGAGGAAAGUGCCCCGUCACAAGGAGAGGUGGCACCUGGACCUGCUGCUGCUUGUCGCGUUCCCAUGGAUGUGAGGAGCAUCCAUGUGAUUUCCUCUCGCCGCAGCUCAGCCCCUUGGAGCAGUGGCUCAGCAGCUGUCGGGGCACACAGCCCUUCAUGCCCACCUCAGUGCCACCACUGCAGGAGCUGAGCCCACAGCUUUGGGGCAUCCCAGCACCCCAUGCUGGAUGUGCCGAAUGCAUUUUGUCUGCAGCACACGUCAUCCUCCCUGGCUCUGGUGUGCAUUGUGUCCCCAUGUCCUGGUGCUGUGGUGCCAGCCCCCUCCUCCCCUCAGUGCCACUGUCCCUUUGUCCCCAGCACUGCCCCUGAGCUAAGUGGCCAGGAGCCUUGGCUGUCCCUGCCCUGUGCUUGGCUAAUGAAUAAACCCCAUGUGCACUGUGUGA